UAAAUCAGUCAUCAGUCAGAGACUCAGUAAAUGCCUCUGAUUGGUGAUUUGCUUUAGC
rnacentral:pre_miRNA from 1 species